GAUGAACGCUGGCGGCGUGCCUAAUACAUGCAAGUCGAGCGAACAGAUGAGGAGCUUGCUCCUCUGACGUUAGCGGCGGACGGGUGAGUAACACGUGGAUAACCUACCUAUAAGACUGGGAUAACUUCGGGAAACCGGAGCUAAUACCGGAUAAUAUAUUGAACCGCAUGGUUCAAUAGUGAAAGACGGUUUUGCUGUCACUUAUAGAUGGAUCCGCGCCGCAUUAGCUAGUUGGUAAGGUAACGGCUUACCAAGGCAACGAUGCGUAGCCGACCUGAGAGGGUGAUAGGCCACACUGGAACUGAGACACGGUCCAGACUCCUACGGGAGGCAGCAGUAGGGAAUCUUCCGCAAUGGGCGAAAGCCUGACGGAGCAACGCCGCGUGAGUGAUGAAGGUCUUCGGAUCGUAAAACUCUGUUAUUAGGGAAGAACAAAUGUGUAAGUAACUAUGCACGUCUGGACGGUACCUAAUCAGAAAGCCACGGCUAACUACGU
rnacentral:rRNA from 1 species